rnacentral:guide_RNA from 1 species
AAUCAUAAUACAGAACGAUGACAGUGAAGAGACUUAGAUUAAUGU